AUUGAACGCUGGCGGCAGGCUUAACACAUGCAAGUCGAGCGGGGUGAUGGUGCUUGCACUAUCACUUAGCGGCGGACGGGUGAGUAAUGCUUAGGAAUCUGCCUAUUAGUGGGGGACAACAUCUCGAAAGGGGUGCUAAUACCGCAUACGUCCUACGUGAGAAAGCAGGGGAUCACUUGUGACCUUGCGCUAAUAGAUGAGCCUAAGUCGGAUUAGCUAGUUGGUGGGGUAAAGGCCUACCAAGGCGACGAUCUGUAGCGGGUCUGAGAGGAUGAUCCGCCACACUGGGACUGAGACACGGCCCAGACUCCUACGGGAGGCAGCAGUGGGGAAUAUUGGACAAUGGGGGGAACCCUGAUCCAGCCAUGCCGCGUGUGUGAAGAAGGCCUUAUGGUUGUAAAGCACUUUAAGCGAGGAGGAGGCUCUUUUGGUUAAUACCCAAGAUGAGUGGACGUUACUCGCAGAAUAAGCACCGGCUAACUCUGUGCCAGCAGCCGCCGUAAGAC
rnacentral:rRNA from 1 species